rnacentral:rRNA from 1 species
UACGAAGGGGGCUAGCGUUGCUCGGAAUCACUGGGCGUAAAGCGCACGUAGGCGGAUUGCUAAGUCAGGGGUGAAAUCCUGGAGCUCAACUCCAGAACUGCCUUUGAUACUGGCGAGCUUGAGUUCGGGAGAGGUGAGUGGAACUGCGAGUGUAGAGGUGAAAUUCGUAGAUAUUCGCAAGAACACCAGUGGCGAAGGCGGCUCACUGGCCCGAUACUGACGCUGAGGUGCGAAAGCGUGGGGGAGCAAACAGGG